GCCCUGAUCAGCCAUGCCGCGUGUGUGAGAAGGUUUCGGUAUUGUAAAGCACUUUAAGUUGGAGGGGGGCCUAGUUAAUACCUUGCUGUUUUGACGUUACCAAAAAAGGGGCUCCGGCUAACUUCGUGCCAGCAGCCGCGGUAAUACGAAGGGUGCAAGCGUUAAUCGGAAUUACUGGGUGUAAAGACGCACGAAGGGUGGUUCAGCAAGUUGGAUGUGAAAUCCCCGGGCUCAACCUGGGAACUGCAUCCAAAACUACUGAGCUAAGUACGGUAGAGGGUGGUGGAAUUUCCUGUGUAGCGGUGAAAUGCGUAGAUAUAGGAAGG
rnacentral:rRNA from 1 species